GCCGCUCGAUCCACGGAUUCAGGGGUGCGGUCCACAGGAAAUGUUACGCGAUCUAUGGCAUGGCUCAUGGGUGAGAUGGAAGAAAAAAGUAUGAUCCAAUGGUCCAAAUUCAAACUGAAUGAGAUUGGAUGGUUUGUAUUUGUUUCCUCCUGAAAACUAACCAGAAGAAGAGAUCUGGAUGCAAUCCAAUGAAUCAAAAUCAAUCUGGAGUCUGAUCCAAUGGCUGAGAAGGUUCUCGACUGAGA
rnacentral:lncRNA from 1 species